rnacentral:misc_RNA from 1 species
CUUUUGCCGGUUGCUGUCGCUGCUUUGCCGGAGAAGAGGGAGAGGGCGGCGACAGCAACCGGCAAAAGCUCCGGCUGAAGCAGCAACAACAAACGACGGAAAUAGCAGCGCCACCACUCGCAUACUUAUCCGGUGAAGACACCAUCAGCGUCAGCAGCUCCAGGAGGCGAGCACCACAGAUGAUAUCAACUCCGACCUUGUUAGAGAAAACAUUCAGAUCUGUCCAAAAGGGUUGGGUUCAAGAAAUGGCGAGUUUUGUGAAGUCAUUAGAUAACAAAUUGGAAGUUGAAAUUGAAGGAUUUUAUGGUGAUUCAAUUCCUGAAAGGAAAUCAGUGAAUCCUGGUUAUCAAGUUCGAACAAAUUUCUUUAGUAACCAGCUUAUCAAUGAAAUUGAUUUUUGCUACAAUCCGUUCAUACAUUGACCAAUGGGUAUCUGAA